CACCCCACUUAAUCUUUCUCCUUUCCUCAACUACUUCUAUAGACGAAGUUUAACAAGCACACUGUCAUACGUAAAUGCAGUGUAUUUAUGAGUGAACAAGACCCAGUCACCAUCACUUAUCAAAAUAUUAAAAGAAAUGCAAAAAGAAAUACAACAAUUUCAUCAAAAUAUACUUUAUGAAUAUUAUCUCUACAUCCUAAUAGAGAAUCAAACAAUGAUUUUAUCGACGAUUAAGCAACAUAUCAUGACCAGCUGAAGAUCAGUUUAGCAGGGAUCAGUAAGAAUACUGAAUUAUUUUAGAAAGCAUUUCAUAACACUGAAAAUUGAAAUUCGAAAUCCAAAUACCAUGUGAAACUUUUUUAACCACUUCAUUGCACAUGUGAU
rnacentral:lncRNA from 1 species